GAUGAACGCUAGCGGCAGGCCUAACACAUGCAAGUCGAGGGGUAGAAGGAGCUUGCUCCUUUGAGACCGGCGCACGGGUGCGUAACGCGUAUGCAAUCUACCUUGUACAGGGGAAUAGCCCAGAGAAUUUGGAUUAAUGCCCCAUAGUAUAUAACCUUCGCAUGUUGGUUAUAUUAAAGUUCCAACGGUACAAGAUGAGCAUGCGUCCCAUUAGUUAGUUGGUAAGGUAACGGCUUACCAAGACGAUGAUGGGUAGGGGUCCUGAGAGGGAGAUCCCCCACACUGGUACUGAGACACGGACCAGACUCCUACGGGAGGCAGCAGUGAGGAAUAUUGGUCAAUGGUCGCAAGACUGAACCAGCCAUGCCGCGUGCAGGAAGACGGUCCUAUGGAUUGUAAACUGCUUUUAUACAGGAAGAAACCCUCCCACGUGUGGGAGCUUGACGGUACUGUAGGAAUAAGGAUCGGCUAACUCCGUG
rnacentral:rRNA from 1 species